UACAGAGGGUGCAAGCGUUGUUCGGAAUUAUUGGGCGUAAAGGGCGCGUAGGCGGCCACGUAAGUCGAAUGUGAAAGCCCAGGGCUCAACCUUGGAAGUGCAUCCGAAACUGUGUGGCUCGAAUCUCAGAGAGGGUGGUGGAAUUCCCAGUGUAGAGGUGAAAUUCGUAGAUAUUGGGAGGAACACCGGUGGCGAAGGCGACCGCCUGGACGAAGAUUGACGCUGAGGCGCGAGAGCGUGGGGAGCAAACAGG
rnacentral:rRNA from 1 species